AGUAGUAGUGUGGUGAUACUGUAAUAGUGGUUGUACCAGUAGUAGUAGUAGUGACGGUGAUACUGUAAUAGUAGUGGUAGUAGCAGUGAUGGUGAAAAUAGUAGUGGGGAUGGGGAAAGUUGUAGUGGUGAUGGGGAUAGUAGUAUUAGUAGUAGUAUUGAUGGUGAUAGUAGUAAUAGUAGAAGUAGUAGUAGUGAUGGUGUUAGUAGUGGUGAUAGUAGAAGUGGUGAUGGAGAUAAUAAUGGUGGUAUUAGUAGUUGUAGUAGCAGUGAAGGUGAUGGUGGUAGUGGUAAUGACAGUAGAAGUGGUGAUGGAGAUAAUAAUAGUGGUAUUAGUAGUUGUAGUAGCAGUGAAGGUGAUGGUGGUAGUGGUAGUGAUAGUAGAAGUGGUGAUGGAGAUAAUAAUGGUGGUAUUAGUAGUUGUAGUAGCAGUGAAGGUGAUGGUGGUAGUGGUUUUAUUAUUAUUAUCAGAAGUACUAGUAGUGGUGAUAAUAGUAGUAAUACGUAGUAGUAGUGAUAUGGAUAGUAGUAGUAGUGAUAUGGAUAGUAGUAGUAGUAGUAGUAGUAGUAGUAGUAGUAGUAGUAGUGAUAUGGAUAGUAGUAGUAGUAGGGAUAUGGAUAGUAGUAGUAGUAGUAGAAGUAGUAGUAGUAGUAGUAGUAGUAGUAGUUAUAUGGAUAGUAGUAGUAGUAUUAGUAGUAGUAGUAGCAGAAGGGAUAUGGAUAGUAGUAGUAGUGAUAUGGAUAGUAGUAGUAGUGAUAUGGAUAGUAGUAGUAGUAGUAGUAGUAGUAGUAGUAGUAGUAGUAGUGAUAUGGAUAGUAGUAGUGGUAGUAGUAGUAGUGAUAUGGAUAGUAGUAGUAGUAGUAGUAGUAGUAGUAGUAGUGAUAUGGAUAGUAGUAGUAGUAGUAGUAGUAGUAGUAGUGAUAUGGAUAGUAGUAGUUGUAGUAGUAGUGAUGUGGAUAGUAGUAGUAGUAGUAGUAGUAGUAGUGAUAUGGAUAGUAGUAGUUGUAGUAGUAGUGAUGUGGAUAGUAGUAGUAGUAGUAGUAGUAGUAGUAGUGAUAUGGAUAGUAGUAGUAGUAGUAGUAGUAGUAGUAGUAGUAGUAGAAGUGAUAUGGAUAGUAGUAGUAGUAGUAGUAGUAGUAGUAGUGAUAUGGUUAGUAGUACUGGUAUUAGCAGUAACGGUGAUAGUAGAAGUAGUGUUGAAAGUAGUAGUAGUGGUAUUAUUAGUAUUCGUAGUUGUGGUGGUGAUAGUAGUAGUGGUAAAGUAGCAGUUGAAAUAGUAGUAGUGAUGGGGUAGUAGAAUUGGUAUUAGUAGUAGUAGUGGUAGUAGAUAUAGUAGUGGUAGUGGUAGUAGUAGUGAUGGUGUUAGUAGAAGUGAUAGAAAUAGUAUUACUGAUUGUGAAAUUAAUAGUAGUGGAAAUUGCAGUGGUGAUGGGGGUAGUAGUAGUAGUAGUAGUAGUAGUGAUGGUGAUAGUAGUAGUACUAGUAGUAGUGAUGGUGGUAGUAGCAGUAGUGAUGGUGAUAGUAGGAGUGAUAUUUGCAGUAGUGGUGAUGGGGAUAGUAGUAGUGGUGAUGGGGCUUUUGGUAGAAGUACUAGUAGUAGUGAUGGUGCUAGUAGUAGUGACAGUGAGAGUAGUAGUAGUAUAGAUAGUAGUAGUAGUGGUGAUAGUAGUAGUGUUAGUAGUAGUAGCGGUGAAAGUGAUAGUAGUAGUAGUGAUGAUGUGGAUAGUAGUACUGGUAUUAGUAGUAAUGUUGAUAGUAGUAGUAGUGACAGUGAUAAUAGUAGUAGUGGUGAUAGUAGUAGUGGUGAUGGGGAUAGUAGAAGUGGUAUUAGUAGUAGUGGUGGUAUUAGAGAAAGUAGUGCUAGUAGCAGUAGUUGUGGUGAAAGUAGUAGUAGUUGAAAUAGUGGUAGUAGUGGUUAUGGGAUAGUAGUAGUAGUGGUGGUGGUGAUAGUAGUAGUGAUAAUGGGGAUAGUAGUAGUGGUAUUGGUAGUAAUGGUGAUAGUAAUAGCGGGGAUGGGGAUAGUAGUAGUGGUGAUGGGGAUAGUAGUAGUAGUAGCAGUGGUGAUGGUUAUAGUAGUAGUGGUUAUAGUGAUAGUAGUAGUGUGGUGAUGGUGAUAGUAGUAGUGAUAAUGGGGAUAGUAGUAGUGGUAUUGGUAGUAAUGGUGAUAGUAAUAGUGGUGAUGGGGAUAGUAGUAGUGGUGAUGGGGAUAGUAGUAGCCGUAGUAGUAGUAGUAGUAGUAGUAGUAGUAGUAGUAGUAGUAGUAGUAGUAGUAGUGGUAGUAGUAGUGAUAAUGGGGAUAGUAGUAGUGGUAUUGGUAGUAAUGGUGAUAGUAAUAGUGGUGAUUGGGAUAGUAGUAGUAGUGAUGGUUACAGUAGUAGCAGUGGUGGUGGUGGUGAUAGUAGUAGUAGUUGUGGAUGAUAAUAGUAUUGCUGUUGAAAGCAGUAGCACUAGCAUUUAUUUUAAUUUAACUAGGCAAGUCAGAUAAGAAUGGUGAUAGUAAUAGUAGUGAAAGGGCUGGUAGUAGUAGUAGCGAUGGUAAUAGUAGUAGUAGUAGUAAUAGUAAUGAUAAUAGUAGUAGUAGAAUUAAUGUUGAUAGUAGUAGUAAUGGUGAUAGUAGUAGUAGUAGUAGUGGUGAUAGUAGAAGUAGUAACGGUGACAGUAGUAAUGGAGAUAGUAGUAGUAGUAAUGGUGAUAGUAAUAGUGGUGAUGGGCUGGUAGUAGUAGUGAUGGUUACAGUAGUACUAGUAGUGGUGGUGAUGGUGAUAGUAGUAGUACUAGUAUUUAUUUUAAUUUAACUAGGCAAGUCAGAUAAGAAUAUUAAUGGUGAUAGUAGUAGUGGUGAUAGUAGUAGUAGUGGUGAUAGUAGUAGUAGUGGUGAUAGUAGUAGUAGUAGUAAUGGUGAUAGUAAUAGUAGUAGUAAUGGUGCUAGACUAAGUAGUACUAGUAAUGGUGAUAGUAGUAGUGGUAGUAAUAGUAGUGGUGAUAGUAGUAGUAGUAGUAGUAGUAGUAGUAGUAAUGGUGAUAGCAGUAGUAGUAGUAAUGGUGAUGGUAGUAGUAGUAAUGGUGAUGGUAGUAGUAGUAAUGGUGAUAGUAGUAGUGGUAGUAGUAGUAGUAGUAGUGGUGAUAGUAGUAGUAGUAGUAGUAGUAGUAGUAGUAGUAAUGGUGAUAGUAGUAGUAGUAGUAAUGAUGAUAGUAGUAGUAGUAGUAGUAACGGUGAUAGUAGUAGUAGUAGUAGUAGUAGUAGUAACGGUGAUAGAAGUAGUAGUAGUAGUAGUAGUAGUAAUGGUGAUAGUAGUAGCAGUAGUAAUGGUGAUAGUAGUAGCAGUAGUAAUGGUGAUAGUAGUAGCAGUAGUAAUGGUGAUAGUAGCAGUAGUAGUAAUGGUGAUAGUAGUAGUAAUGGUGAUAGUAGUAGUAGUGGUGAUAGUAGUAGUAGUAGUAGUAGUAGUGGUGAUAGUAGUAGUAGUAAUGUGAUAGUAGUAGUAGUAGUAGUAGUAAUGGUGAUAGUAGUAGAAGUAAUGGUGAUAGUAGUAGUAGUAGUAGUAGUAGUAGUAGUAGUAAUAAUAGUAGUAGCAGUAGCAGUAAUGGUGAUAUUAGUAGUAGUAGUUGUAGUACUAGCAGUAAUGGUGAUAGUAGUAGUAGUUGUAAUGGUGAUAGUAGUAGUAGUAGUAAUGGUGAUAUUAGUAGUAGUAGUAGUAGCAGUAAUGGUGACAGUAGUAGCACUAAUGGUGAUAGUAGUAGCACUAAUGGUGAUAGUAGUAGCAGAAAUGGUGAUUGAUGUAGUAGUAGUAGUAGUAAUGGUGAUAGUAGUAGUAGUAAUGGUGAUAGUAGUAGUAGUAAUUUUGAAAGUAGUAGUAGUAGUAGUAGUAAUGAUGAUAGUAGUAGUAAUGGUGAUAGUAGUAGUAGUAAUGGUGAUAGUAGUAGUAGCAAUAUUGAAAGUAGUAGUAGUAGUAAUGGUUAUAGUAGUAGUAAUGAUGAUAGUAGUAGUAGUAAUGGUGAUAGUUGUAGUAGUAAUAUUGAUAGUAGUAGUAUUAGUAAUGGUGAUAGUAGUAGUAAUGGUGAUAGUAGCAGUAGUAAUUGUGAUAGUAGUAGUAGUAGUAGUAGUAGUAGUACUAGUAAUAAUGGUGAUUGUAGUAGUAGUAGUAUUGGUGAUAGGAGUAGUAGUAAUGGUGAUAGUAGUAGUAGUAGUAAUGAUGAUAUUAGUAGUAGUAGUAGUAGUAGCAGUAGCAGUAAUGAUGAUAUUAGUAGUAGUAGUAGUAGUAGUAGUAGUAGUAGUAGUAAUGGUGAUAGUAGUAGAAGUUGUAAUGGUCAUAUUAGUAGUAGUAGUAGUAGCAGUAAUGGUGAUAGUAGUAGCACUAAUGGUGAUAGUAGUAGCAGUAAUGGUGAUAGUAGUAGCAGUAAUGGUGAUUGUAGUAGUAGUAGUAACACUAAUGGUGAUAGUAGUAGCAGUAAUGGUGAUAGUAGUAGCAGUAAUGGUGAUUGUAGUAGUAGUAGUAGUAGUAAUGGUGAUAGUAGUAGUAGUAGUAAUGGUGAUAGUAGUAGUAGUAAUGGAGAUAGUAGUAGUAGUAAUAUUGAUAGUAGUAGUAGUAAUGGUGAUAGUAGUAGUAAUGAUGACAGUAGUAUUAGUAGUAAUGGUGAUAGUAGUAGUAGUAAUGGUGAUAGUAGUAGUAGUACCUAGUAGCAGUAAUGGUGAUAGUAGUAGCAGUAAUGGUGAUAGUAGUAGCAUUAAUGGUGAUAGUAGUAGUAAUAGUAGUAAUAGUAAUAGUAGUAGUAGUAGUAGUACUAGUAAUGGUGAUUGUAGUAGUAGAAUAGUAAUGGUGAUUGUAGUAGUAGUAGUAGUAUUGGUGAUAGUAGUAGUAGUAAUCAUGAUAGUAGCAGUAGUAAUGGUGAUGGUGAUAGUAGUAGUAGUGGUGGUGAUAGUAGUAGUAGUGUGGUGAUAGUAGUAGUAUUAAUGGUGAUAGUAGUAGUAGUAACGGUGAUGGUGAUAGUAAUAGUAGUGGUAAUGGUGAUAGUAGUAGUAGUAGUGGUGAUAGUAGUAGCACUAAUGGUGAUAGUAGUAGCAGUAAUGGUGAUAGUAGUUGCAGUAAUGGUGAUAGUAGUAGUAGUCGUAGUAGUAGUAGUAGUAGUAAUGGUGAUAGUAGUAGUAGUAAUGGUGAUAGUAGUAGUAGUUGCAAUGGUAAUAGUAGUAGUAGUAGUAGUAGUAGUAGUAGCAGUAAUGGUGAUAGUAGUAGCACUAAUGGUGAAAGUAGUAGCACUAAUGGUGAAAGUAGUAGCACUAAUGGUGAUAGUAGUGGCAGUAAUGGUGAUAGUAGUAGCAGUAAUGGUGAUAGUAGUACUAGUAAUAGUAGUAGUAGUAGUAAUGGUGAUAGCAGUUGUAGUAGUAGUAGUAGUAGUAAUAGUAGUAGUAAUGAUGAUAGGAGUAGUAGUAAUGGUGAUAGUAGCAGCAGUAAUGGUGAUAGUAGUUGCAGUAAUGGUGAUAGUAGUAUUAGUAAUAGUAGUAGUAGUAGUAGUAGUAAUGGUGAUAUUAGUAUUAGUGGUGUUGAUAGUGGUAGUAGUAAUGGUUAUAGUAGUAGUAGUAGUAGUAGUUGUAAUGGUGAUAGUAGUAGUAGUAAUGGUUAUUGUAGUAGUAGUAAUGGUGAAAUUAGUAGUAGUAUUAGUAAUGGUGAUAGUAGUAGUAGUAGUAGCAAUGGUGAUAUUAUUAUUAGUAGUAGUAGUAGUAAUGGUAGUGGUGGAGGUGAUGCAUUAGUGAUGGUGUUAGUCGUGGUGGUCAUGUGAAUAGUAGUAGUCUUAUUUGUGGUAAAGGUGAUAGUAGUAGAAAUAGUUUUAGUGAUGGUGAAAGUAGUAGUAGUGGAAAUAGUAGUAGUGAUGGUGAUAGUAUUAGUGAAUGUAUUGGUGGUUAUAGUAGUAGUGGUGACAGUGAUCGUAGUACUGAUGGUGAUAAUAGAAGUGGUAAUGGUGAUUGUAGUAGUGGUAUUGGUAGUAAUUGUGGUAGUAGUAGUGGUGAUGGUGAUAGUAGGAUGAAUAGAAAUAGUAUUAGUGAUGGUGAAAUUAGUAGAAGUAGAAAUAGUAGUGGUGAUGGUGAGAGCAGUAGUAGUGGUUAUGGGGAUAGUACUCGUAGUCGGGAUGGUGGUGAUAGCAGUAGUGAUGGUGAAAGUAGUAGUGGUAAUGUGAAUCGUAGUAGUUGUAUUUGAAGUAAUGGUAGUAGUAAUAGUAGUAGUUGUGAUUGAUAGUAGUAGAAAUAAUAUUAGUCAUGGUGAAAGUUGUAGUAGUAGAAAUAGUAGUGGUGAUUUGGAAUAGUAGUAGUAGUAAUAGUAGUAAUGGUGAUAGUAGUUGUGGUGAUGGGAUUGGUAGUAAUAGUUAUGGUGCUAGUAUUAGUAGCAGUAGUUUUAGUGGUGAUGGGGAUAGUAGUAGUAUUGAUGGUGAUCGUAGUAGUAGUAGUAGUAGUAGUAGUAGUAGUAGUAGUUGUAGUAGUAAUGAUGGUGACGGUGAUAGCAGUCGUGGUGGUGACGGUGAUAGCAGUUGUGGUGGUGACGGUGAUAGCAGUCAUAGCGGUGACAGUGAUAGCAGUCGUAAUGGUGACGGUGAUAGCAGUCGUAGCGGUGACGGUGAUAGCAGUUGUAGCAGUGACGGUGAUAGCAGUCGUGGCGAUGACGGUGAUAGCAGUCGUAGUGGUGACGGUGAUAGCAGUCGUAGUGGUGACGGUGAUAGCAGUCAUAGUGGUGACGAUGAUAGCAGUCAUAGUGGUGACGGUGAUAGCAGUCGUAGUGGUGACGGUGAUAGCAGUCGUAGUGGUGACGGUGAUAGCAGUCGUAGUGGUGACGGUGAUAGCAGUCGUAGUGGUGACGGUGAUAGUAGUGCUCAGUGCUCAGACUGUCCGCAAUAGGCUGAGAGAGGCUGGACUGAGGGCUUGUAGGCCUGUUGUAAGGCAGGACCUCACCAGCAACAACGUCGCCUAUGGGGACAAACCCACCAUCGCUGGACCAGACAGGACUGGCAAAAAGUGCUCUUCUCUGACAAAUCGCGGUUUUGUCUCACCUGGGUGAUGGUCGGAUUCGCGUUUAUCGUCGAAGGAAUGAGUGUUACACCGGGGACUGUACUCUGGAGCGGGAUCAAUUUGGAGGUGCAGGGUCCGUCAUGGUCUGGGGGCGGUGUGUCACAGCAUCAUCGGACUGAGCUUAUUGUCAUUGCAGGCAAUCUCAAAGCUGUCCGUUACAGGGAAGACAUCCUCCUCCCUCAUGUGGUACCCUUCCCGCAGGCUCAUCCUGACAUGACCCUCCAGCAUGACAAUGCCACCAGCCAUACUGCUCGUUAGUAGUAGUAGUGAUAAUAAUGACGGAGAUGGUAGUAGAAGUGAUAGUAAUGAUGGAGAUGGUAGUAGAAGUGAUAGUAAUGACAGAGAUGGUAGUAGAAGUGAUAGUAAUGACGCAGAUGGUAGUAGAAGUGAUAGUAAUGACGGAGAUGGUAGUAGAAGUGAUAGUAAUGAUGGAGAUGGUAGUAGAAGUGAUAGUAAUGACAGAGAUGGUAGUAGAAGUGAUAGUAAUGAUGGAGAUGGUAGUAGAAGUGAUAGUAAUGACGGAGAUGGUAGUAGAAGUGAUAGUAAUGACGGAGAUGGUAGUAGAAGUGAUAGUAAUGACGGAGAUGGUAGUAGAAGUGAUAGUAAUGACGGAGAUGGUAGUAGAAGUGAUAGUAAUGAUGGAGAUGGUAGUAGUGGUAGUAGAAGUAGUAGUAGAAGUAGUGAUGGUGAUGGUAGUAGAAGUAGUAGUAGAACUAGUGAUGGUGACGGUAGUAGUAGUAAUAGUAGUAGUAGUGAUGGUGAUAGUAGUAGUAUUAGUGGUAGUAGUAGUAGUGAUGGUGAUAGUAGUAGUAUUAGUAGUAGUAGUGAUGAUGAUAGUAGUAGUAUUAGUAGUGAUGGUUGUAGUGAUGAUGUAGGUAGUGGUGAUGGUGAUAGUAAUGACAGAAGUUCAAAAUUAGGAAGUGUGUCUUCUUGUUUGGGGAAUACAAUGGUUCAGAGCCAAAACAUCCAAUCUACCUCCUCUAUUCUCCCUCCUCUAUUCUCCCUCUCCUUUCCUCUUCCUUUCCCUUUCUUCCUCCUCUGUUUGGAGAUGAAAGAGCAAAGACAGAUUUGGCUGAGUGCCCACACUUUUCAAUAAACUCCUCUCGGGCGCACCGUCACAGCGGCAGUCUGUUCCGUUUGGCUUUCAUACCGGGGCACAAACUCCAAAUUAAAUAUGACUGUCACAGGCACAAACUACGAUGGGACAGAUGCAUACAAUGGAGUAGGACAAACAGGCCUCUUAUUAUAGAUCUCCCAACACACACACACGGACACACAGUCCUUUGUGUAGAAGAGAAGUACACAAACGAGAGAGAGUAUUCUGCCAAUCCCUGCAUCCCCAACCCACCAAAGAACAUAAGCACUAUGGUUACACCUAAUCCUGUAUAGACCCAUUGUAUACUUAUCCCUACACUUCCAUUUAUAAUAUCAUGUUACUAAAGGUAACACAGUGGACUAGGUAUAGUAUCUUGUUACUAAAGGGAGUACAGUGGACUAGGUAUAGCAACAUGUUACUAAAGGUAACACAGUGGACUAGGUAUAGCAACAUGUUACUAAAGGGAGUACAGUGGACUAGGUAUAGCAACAUGUUACUAAAGGUAACACAGUGGACUAGGUAUAGUAUCAUGUUACU
rnacentral:lncRNA from 1 species